rnacentral:lncRNA from 1 species
AGCUGGAUUCUGUGAUUGCAGUUAAAAGAACCUUAACUAAUACGGCCCAGAGCCAUUGGCACACUCAACACCUGCCAUACUACAGCCUCCAUUUGCAUUUUGCAAUCUUUGCUGUUCUCGCGUUGCGUCUGCCUCUCUGUGGCGUAUUUUCCCAUGUUUGGACAUUAUACAUACAAGAAAAGGGCUCCACAGAACAAGACAGCUGAUCUGUGAGUUUCAAAGUCUGAAUUCUGGAGGAAAGUGCUCUCUGCGAGAUGUAUUUAUGACUUACUUCAACCACAGGUGCUUGUGCUGCUGAAAGGUCGUGGAGGGCACAAUUCCUCCUUUGGGUGCAUACUGAGCACCUAAUGGGUGCAGGCAUGGCUCCGGGCCAGUGCUUCCAGUAGAACUUUCCUCAAUGAUGGAAAAUCCCACAGCUAUGCUGCCAUUUCAAAUAUGUGGCUACUGAGCACUUGAGAUGUGGCUCGUACGACUGAGGAGCCCAGUAUUUUAUUUUAUUUUAUUUUAAUUAACUUAAAUUUAAACAGCCACAUGUGGCUAAUGGCUCCUGUAUUGGACAGUGCAGUUCUAGAUACUUCACCUAAUUAAUUACGCAAGGCAGGGAACACCAGCUUAGUUUUACAGAUGAAGAAACUGAUACUCAGAGAGGCAAAAUGACAUGCCUGAGAUCACUGCAUGAGACAGCACAAGGAUUCAACCCAAAUCCAACCCGUGACAAACUGCUUCACACACACACACAGACAUACACGAUGUGUGUGAAACAUUGAUAGGGGACAAAAUAAAACUGAAUUUCCCAUCUCGGAGGCAUCGGCUCUGUUUUAGUUACAAAGCCAAAACAAAAAAGCAAGCCACGAAUCAGGACACACUAUCAAUUCCGCCUAACCAUGGAGACGGUCCAGCCAGCGGGCUUGGCUUUCUCCUGCAGCCGUCCUGGCUCGACAAGAGCCUUGUGGUCGCGUGUGUUUUAUUGCAUGCCGAAAACUCCAAGAUAGCUCGGCCUCCAAGAACAAAAGUGAUUGCGGGGUGAAGAGGGAAGGAGGGCAAGAGGCUGCCCCUCCCAUCUCCUAGGGUGGACACCAUGUCUGACAAGCCUCAUCCAGGCCUUUAAAGUACUGCACGGAUGCGGAGAGGGCCCGACUGUGCUGGGAAGCCUCCCCGGCUGCCUCCUCUGCUCCCCACACCCUGGGAAAACUCCAUCUCUAACAGUUACGGUCAGCCAUUUAAAUCACAUUACACUGUAAGUGGAUAUACAAAUUGUCAGCCCUAAUGAAAUUUAGGAGGAAACAGUGGGAGAGGUGAAAACACUUAGAACUGGUUUCUUGGUUUUCGAGACCCGAAUUCAAGUGGUUUAGACUGCUCGUUGAAAACGUGCUUGGAGUGUGGUUUUCCUGCCAGCACAUGGAGGCUCCCUGGGAACUCACGGCUGAGUCUUCUUCUUUGGUUCACUCUGGAAUUGCACUGCGUAAGAGCCCUCAGUGUAGACACGGCGCUGCUCACGGCAGGAGAGGGUCCUCCUCAUUUCUGAACCUCGCAAAAGGCCUGGCACUGAGAGGCAUUUGGGAAAUACGGAAUGAGAGACUAAAAGCAGAGAACCCCUGUGCACAGCCCGAAUCACGAAAGUCAGAGAGGCCCUAGGAAAGGAAAUCCACUUCGAUGAUGCCAGAAAUGCCUCCGUAAAGGCUGCUGGGGGCAGGGAGGGGGGAGAGAAGGGUCCCCUCCAGUCUGUUCUCCCAGAAAAUACAUGCUCAUUAGGCAAUGUGCUGAACAGCAUAUUGGAUUAACUCACGAAUUAUCUGCCACUAAAUGGUUGAGCAGGCCUGUCUCUCCAGGGCAGAGGGGUCUCGGCACCCACCAGGGCUUGUGGAUUAAGAGGAUACUAUACCAGCUUCCAUUUCCUCAAUGGUUACUCUGCUCCUGUCACUGCACGUCCUCCUGUGUAAUCCCCACAAAACCCCUGCAUGGCAGACAGGGUUUGCCCCUCUACAGGCAAGGAAAUGAAAGAUCAGAAAGGUCAAGAAACUUGCCCAAGAUUGUGCAGGUGUUUCUGAUUCCAAAGCUCCUGCUGGACGGGACGCCUGGAUGGGAUGUGAUGAAGAAACUGAGUCAAAGGAAGCCCAGGGGCUUGCCGAAGGGGGCUCAGCUUGCUCCCCACAGGAAGCAAGUGGGACGAAGGGUGUGCCUAGGAUUCUGGAGCCCGGAGCUGCUCUUCUCAGCCUCGGAAUCUCGCUCUGUGAAGAGGAGCCUCCUGUUACACCUGAGAAUACUGAAUGAAGGUCAGAGAGGGUAUCUUGCUGCAGGUGCUGUCAUCGAGAGAGGAGGGGUAGAGCGCCACUCACACAUCGUGGGAGAGACUGUGUGCAACGAUGCUGCAGCAACGUCCCCCCUCCUGCACAGAGCCCCUUCGCAGGGUGGCCUUGCCACUCCUCUCAUCGCGAGGUGGAGUCAAGUUCUCCACCCCUUUGAAUCUGGGCUGUCCUUGGGCUUGCUUUGACCAGUAGAAGGCAGAGGAAGUGAUA